rnacentral:rRNA from 1 species
CUUUAAGUGUCCUAAAGGGUUGUUCAAGACUAGAACGUUGAUAGGCAGGGUGUGUAAGCGCUGUGAGGCGUUGAGCUAACCUGUACUAAUUGCCCGUGAGGCUUAACCAUACAACACCCAAGGGGUUU